GCUAAUAAUCUAACUCAAAACUAACUAAUAAACCCAUAAAUUAUUGCAAUUUCUAACUAAAACAUUCUAUAUUUUUAGUAAAGGUGAUCGAAACAUUAUUUUGAAGUUAUAUAGCAGUACCGCAAGGGAAUGAUGAAAUAAAAAUGAAAAUCUUUUAAGCGUAAAGCAGUAGAGAUUAAUUCUCGUACCUUUUGCAUCAUGAUUUAACUAGUCAAAUCAAACAAAACGAAUUAAAGUUUGCCCUCCCGAAACUAAGCGAGCUACUUUAGGGUAGCUUUAUGAGCCAACCCGUCUCUGUUGCAAAAGAGUGGGAAAACCCUAAAAUAGAGGUGACAGACCUAACGAGCUUAGUGAUAGCUGGUUACUUAAGAAAAGGAUUUUAGUCCAACCCAACUUUCAUUUAAUAAUUAUAAAUAUACACUGAAUUUUGGAGUAAUUCAAAUAAGGUACAGCCUAUUUGAAACAGGAUACAACCUUUAUAAAUGGGUAAUUUAAUAAUUAAUAAUAAAGUAGGCCUAAAAGCAGCCAUCUUUAAAAAAGCGUCAUAGCUUAUUUACCACUAACCUUAAUUCCACUAACUACCAAAAACCCUUAAUCUGUAUUAAGUAACUCUAUAUAUUUAUAGAACAUAAUAUGUUAGAACUAGUAACAAGAAUCAAACCUUCUCCUAAAUGCAAGUGUAAAUCAGACUGGAUUAACCACUGAUUUUUAAUAUUUAAAACUAGGGUAAUAAAUUAUCAAGAAAACUUUACCAAAAACAAUAUUAAUCUAACACAAGAGCAUUUCAAGACAGAUUAAAAAGAAAAGAAGGAACUCGGCAAACAUUAACCUCGCCUGUUUACCAAAAACAUCGCCUCCUGCCUAACCUAUAGGAGGUCCAGCCUGCCCAGUGACUCUGUUUAACGGCCGCGGUAUCCUAACCGUGCGAAGGUAGCGUAAUCACUUGUUCUUUAAAUGAGGACUAGUAUGAAUGGCAUCACGAGGGUUAUACUGUCUCCUUUUCUAAAUCAGUGAAACUAAUCUUCCCGUGAAGAAGCGGGAAUAAAACUAUAAGACGAGAAGACCCUAUGGAGCUUUAAACUUCCCAGCAAUUAUUUUCUAUUAACACAUCUCAAGACUAUAAAAUAAACCUUAAUAACAUGACUGCAAGUUUUCGGUUGGGGUGACCACGGAGUAAAACUUAACCUCCACAAUGAAUUAGAACCAUAACUCUAAGCAAAGAAAUACAAUUCUAUGCAUCAAAAAACUGACAUUAUUGACCCAAUAUUUUGAUCAAUGAACCAAGUUACCCUAGGGAUAACAGCGCAAUCCAUCUCAAGAGCUCUUAUCGACAGAUGGGUUUACGACCUCGAUGUUGGAUCAGGGUAUCCCAGUGGUGCAGCCGCUACUAAAGGUUCGUUUGUUCAACGAUUAAAACCCU
rnacentral:rRNA from 1 species